UUUCAAGAGGCGGGAACUGAGGGGUGUGGUGGGCCUCUAAGGUCCCAGCAUUCCUUUCGUGCCGCCGCCAAGAUGGCGGCGCCCAUGUUGCGGUGCAUUUCUCGGAGCCAGUGGCUUGGUACCCAAGGCCUGUCAGGAGUCUUGCCCUUGGGGCUGCGUGAGGCCCACUCGGCCGCUCAGGGGUUGCUGGCGGUGCAGAAGGCUCGGGGUCUGUUCAAGGAAUUCUUCCCCGAGAAGGGUACAAAGACAGAGCUCCCAGAGCUCUUCGACCGCGGCACGGGAGGGAAAUUUCCCCAGACCAUCUACUGCGGCUUCGACCCCACGGCCGACUCGCUUCAUGUCGGGCAUCUGCUGGCGCUUUUGGGCCUUUUUCAUUUCCAGCGAGCGGGCCACAACGUGAUCGCGCUGGUGGGAGGUGCCACGGCGCGCCUGGGAGACCCAAGCGGUCGUACCAAGGAGCGCGAGGCGCUGGAUGCGGAGAGCGUGCAAAGGAACGCCCGUGCCCUGAGUCAAGGGCUAAAGGCCCUGGCUGCUAAUCACCAGCAGCUCUUUGCAAAUGGGCGGACCUGGGGCAGCUUCACCGUGCUGGACAAUUCGGCGUGGUACCAGAAGCAGGACCUGGUGGACUUCCUAGCGGCAGUGGGUGGCCACUUCCGCAUGGGAACGCUGCUAAGCAGGCUGAGUGUGCAGACUCGGCUCAAGAGCUCCGGAGGCAUGAGUUUGGCCGAGUUUUUAUACCAGGUGCUCCAGGCCUAUGAUUUCUACUACCUGUUCCAGCAUUAUGGAUGCCGUGUCCAGCUGGGUGGAUCAGAUCAGCUGGGCAAUAUCAUGUCUGGAUACGAGUUCAUCCACAAGUUGACUGGAGAAGAUGUGUUUGGAAUCUCUGUUCCUCUAAUUACAAGUACAACUGGAGCGAAACUGGGCAAGUCUGCUGGCAAUGCUGUUUGGCUAAACAGAGAUAAGACAUCACCAUUUGAAUUGUAUCAGUUUUUUCUCAGGCAACAAGAUGAUUUGGUAGAAAGAUACCUGAAGCUCUUCACUUUUCUGCCUCUUCCAGAGAUUGACCACAUCAUGCAGCUGCAUGUCACAGAGCCAGAAAAGCGGGGUCCUCAGAAGCGACUUGCUGCGGAAGUAACAAAGCUUGUUCAUGGACAAGAAGGGCUGGCCUCUGCUAAAAGGUGUACACAAGCCCUUUAUCACAGCAGCAUAGAUGCGCUGGAAGUCAUGUCUGAUCAAGAGUUAAAAGAAUUGUUUAAAGAAGCUUCAUUUUCUGAAUUAGUUCUUGACCCUGGAACAAGUGUCCUAGAUACGUGCCGCAAAGCAAAUGCCAUUCCAGAUGGUCCCCGAGGGUAUCGGAUGAUUACAGAAGGUGGAGUCAGUAUAAAUCACAGACAAGUAACAAAUCCUGAGAGUGUUUUAGUUGUUGGACAACAUAUUCUUAAGAAUGGACUUUCAUUACUUAAAAUAGGAAAAAGGAACUUCUACAUUAUAAAAUGGCUUCGGCUAUGAUGAAAAACCCUUCUGGUGUUGAAACAUCCAUCAUUCAUUAUCAAGAUAUACAAACUUAUAUCUUCACUUAUGCAACUCAAAGACUGGAGUAUAUUCUAGACCUCAGUCUUACCAAAUUCUACAGCUUACCACAUCCAGCAAAUUCACAGCAUGGCCUUUUUGUGGACUGGCUGGCAUAAUUGGAAUUGGUUUUGAUUUUUCCUCAGCUAGUAACUCCUCAGCUUUUGAAGUUUUCAGCAUUCCUCUCCAGUUGCCUGUUGUUGGUUCUUGAACAGCAUCUCCAACCCCACCACCUCCAGAUGCAACCUGAAAAAAACAUGUUCCAAACCUGUACCAACCAUAUCAAACUGGCAUUAUCUAAACAAAGUUAAUUUUUCUUGAUAGGCAAAGUUAAUUUUUUUGAUAGGCGUCAAGGAGAAUACCCAUCUAGUACCCAUCUGGAGUUUAAUCUAUUUAGAGAUGGCAGGAUCAGAAAGAGAUGGUGACUCCCAUGUGCAUCUGGAACCCUGAGCUAAGUAAGAGGUCCUGUUCUAAAUUGCUGGCAAGGCCUUGGCCAGGAUAUCUUAAAUUCCUCUUUUAUUACUUGCUAACUUUUCAAAGUUUUUCCUCCUCUCCAACCUCUAACACUAGAGAUUGUGGAGAAAAUAUGAGCUAGCCUUUAAAACAAGACUGACCAUUAAAAGCACAAGGAAAGCCCUUCAAAGUAAUUUUAAACACUGUUGAACUGUGAUCUCUCUGAAAGUUCAACAUGUCUCCAAAAGUUAAGACUUUAUAUAUUUCUCAAGUCAGUUUAUGUUCUUAUAGUCACAGGAUAAAAGUAGGAAUCCUUUAAUUAACAGAAAAAAGAACACACUCAUGAUUCUGAGUUUGCAUGCAUGUUUGUGUGUGUGUGUUAAGUCAUGUCCAACUCUUUGUGACCCCAUGGACUGUUGCCCACCAGGCUCCUCUGUCCGUGGGAUUCUCUAGGCAAGAAUACUGGAGUGGGUUGCCAUUUCCUUCUCCAGGGGAUCUUCCCAACCCAGGGAUCAAAUCCCACGUCUCCUGCAUUGGCAGGUGGAUUAUCACUGAGCCACCUGGAAGGCCCAAUAAUGACAUUAAGCUGCCUAAAAUGUUGAAUAUGACAAACACAUCAUCAGUUCCCUCAAUGUUUAUACCCGUGAGAAAGGAUCUGCUAAAAGAAAUCUAGUGUUGUCAUUAAUCACAAGUGCUUUUGCACCUUCUUUUUUAGGAUAUCUGUUAGUCUUGAUUUAUAAAAGAAAAAUGACUGUUUAAGGUAACAGGGAACACUAAUUUAUCAAUAUUUAAGACAUGUUUUUAGAUAUUCUUUAAGAUUUUACAAUCUAAAAUGAAGAUAAAAUGGCAUUCAGAAUUAUAGAAAUAAAAAUGACUUGAUAUAAGUUUAAUAGUGUUAUAGCAAUUGUUAAAUGUUUUUUGUAUCAUUCUGAUUCAAAACACUGCCCAAACUUUGUCUCUAAAAUAUGUAUUAAAGAUGAUGUUUAUCAAUAUAUAGGUGGAAUAUUUAUAUACUACUUUUUAAAUGAGUAACUGUAUUUCUAAAUGCCUGUUAACUAUACAUGAGUGAUAGACCUACAUAUGAAGUCUUAAGGAGAGUGAGCAAAUUCAAGGUGAAGCCAUGAAUAAAAUAAAAAGCAGUGAUUUAAAUGGUUCUCUUAAGAUCUUAGUACAGUGGGCUGAGAGAAGAUAAGACAUUUAAUUAUAAGGUUUAUCUGAGGUUCAGAAUCUUAAACCUGGACAAUAAAUAAGAGCUGAAUGGCAAAAAUAAAAAUAAGAAUGGGUCUGAAUAAUUUACAGAUUAUUUUAUCAAGAACUGGCAACAGUCUCAAACUCUCAGUCCCCCUGUAUGCUCUGAAUUUGCUUAAGCUGUUGAGGCACAUGUUAAGCUACAUAUUUAGGGUGACAAGUGCAUAAGAAAGAAGUGACAAGUGCAUAAGAAAGCAUAAGAAAGAAGCCUAAGAGGACUAUCUAUUAGCACUGGACAGAUCUGAGAACCUUUAAAGAGGAAAAGUCCAAAAGUACAAUUUUCAUCUCCAGAAUUUUAAUUUCCUACCAAAAUAUUAAAUUCAACACUCUUCUUGAAGGUAAUAGAAAACAGUGGGAAAGGGUGUUAUUAUUUAAAACAAUGUUAAAACUAGAAUUAAUACCAUCUUAGAAGUUAGUUGAAUAAGAGAAACAAUAAACAUAAAGACAAUGAGAGAUAGAUGCCACUGUUACAAACAAGUUCUUCAAUGGUUUUGAAGACAAGUGUUUCUGAAAACCAGGGGUACCAACAUUUUCAUUGUGAAGCAAGACUCACAUUUUUAGUUUCUCUUCUGCUCUCCUGAAUUAACUGUUAAAAGAUAUGUUAAAACAUGCAGUUUAACAACCAAAAUUUAAAUACCAAUGGCUUGAAAUUCAAAAAGUGCAGGAUAAUUUCCUCUUUAAAUUCUUUUUCUGUCUGCAUCUUCAUAUUGCAAGCAAAAGCAUGUUAACAAAUGUAUGUUAUGAAGUAUACACUGUUAAAAGAUUUAAAAUUUCUAUUAGACUAAAAUUUGGUCUUAGCACAAUAUCCCAUAUUAAUAUUCUGCUAUUCAGUGGAUUGUUUCCAGAUGAUUAUGUUGCACCAAAUUAGGCAUGCAGGCUUAGAUUAAGAAUCAGAACAGACCUUGCCAUCAGCCUCAGCAGAAGCAGCAGGGGAGGGCUCCUGGGAGGCAGGUGCCAAAGCACUUGGAACUUUAGAAGACUAAAGGCAAAAAAUUCAGGGAAAAAGAAAUCAAGGAUGCCAAAAAUGCAUUCAGAAACAUUCUAUAGAUACGAAUUUUCCCCAUGAAAAACAAAAAUGGGACAUAUUGUUUAUUGUGCUUCUUUCCUGUACUGCCGUCACUGUUGUCACCUUUGUUUAAGACUUUGUUCAGAUGAAUUCCUAAGAAAAGUUCAAAUCCAAAAGCUUCAUUUUGAUUUUUACAAGAUGAUAAGAUCUUUUCUGGUAAAGAAUUCAAGGUAACAGAUUUUUACACAAAAACUAAUACAUGCAACUAUUACAGGAAGCUAAACCUGGUACGCACAUACUGCCAUCUUCCCUCUC